rnacentral:rRNA from 1 species
UACGUAGGCAGCGAGCGUUGUUCGGAGUUACUGGGCGUAAAGCGUGCGUAGGCGGUGGUCCAAGUCUGGUGUGAAAUCUCCCGGCUUAACUGGGAGGGUGCGCCGGAAACUGGGCCGCUGGAGUACGGGAGAGGCAAGCGGAAUUCCAGGUGUAGCGGUGAAAUGCGUAGAUAUCAGGAGGAACGCCAGUGGUGUAGACGGCGUUCUGGACGGUUAUUGACGCUGAGAUACGAAAGCGUGGGGAGCAAACAGG